rnacentral:rRNA from 1 species
AACGAACGCUGGCGGCAUGCCUAACACAUGCAAGUCGAACGAGACCUUCGGGUCUAGUGGCGCACGGGUGCGUAACGCGUGGGAACCUGCCCUUAGGUUCGGAAUAACUCCCCGAAAGGGGUGCUAAUACCGGAUAAUGUCUUCGGACCAAAGAUUUAUCGCCUUUGGAUGGGCCCGCGUUGGAUUAGCUAGUUGGUAGGGUAAAAGCCUACCAAGGCGACGAUCCAUAGCUGGUCUGAGAGGAUGAUCAGCCACACUGGAACUGAGACACGGCCCAGACUCCUACGGGAGGCAGCAGUGGGGAAUAUUGGACAAGGGGCGAAAGCCUGAUCAAGCAAUGCCGGGUGAGUGAUGAAGGCCUUAGGGUUGUAAAGCUCUUUUACCCGGGAUGAUAAUGACAGUACCGGGAGAAUAAGCACCGGCUAACUACGUG